rnacentral:rRNA from 1 species
UACGAAGGGGGCAAGCGUUGUUCGGAAUUACUGGGCGUAAAGGGCGCGCAGGCGGCCCUUGAAGUCAGGUGUGAAAGCCCCGGGCUCAACCUGGGAAUUGCACUUGAUACUCGAGGGCUUGAGUUCGGGAGAGGAGAGUGGAAUUCCCAGUGUAGAGGUGAAAUUCGUAGAUAUUGGGAAGAACACCGGUGGCGAAGGCGACACGCUGGGCCAUACCUGACGCUAAAGCGCGACAGCAUGGGGAGCAAACGGG